rnacentral:rRNA from 1 species
CCCUUAGAUGUUCUGGGCCGCACACGCGCUACACUGAAGGAGGCAGCGUGUACUCCUGGAUCGAAAGAUUUGGGUAACCCGCGAAUCUCCUUCGUGCUAGGGAUUGAGGUUUGCAAUUAUCCUUCAUGAACGAGGAAUUCCCAGUAAGUGCAAGUCAUAAGCUUGCGCUGACUACGUCCCUGCCCUUUGUACACACCGCCCGUCGCUACUACCGAUUGAAUGAUUUAGUGAGGACUUUGGACUGGGACCGAUGCGGCUUUCGGGCUGCGUCGGUAUUCUGGAAAGAUGUCCAAACUGUNUNAUUUAGNGGAAGUAAAANUCGUANCA